GACGAACGCUGGCGGCGUGCUUAACACAUGCAAGUCGAGCGGUAAGGCCCUUUCGGGGGUACACGAGCGGCGAACGGGUGAGUAACACGUGGGUGACCUGCCCUUAGCUCUGGGAUAAGCCUGGGAAACUGGGUCUAAUACCGGAUAUGACUCCAUGACGCAUGUUGUGGGGUGGAAAGCCUUGUGCGGCUAGGGAUGGGCCCGCGGCCUAUCAGCUUGUUGGUGGGGUGAUUGGCCACCAAAGGCGACGACGGUAGCCGGCCUGAGAGGGCGACCGGCCACACUGGGACUGAGACACGGCCCAGACUCCUACGGGAGGCAGCAGUGGGGAAUCUUGCGCAAUGGGCGAAAGCCUGACGCAGCGACGCCGCGUGAGGGAUGACGGCCUGGUGUAACGUCUUCUAGACUCGUACGAGACGAAGUAGACGGUAGGGCGAGAGAAGAC
rnacentral:rRNA from 1 species